CGAAUCUUUUAAAGUGACGUAACCUCUUGAUCGAGAGAAGCCUACGUUGUGACCGAAUGUACCGUGAUGCUUCAAUUCCUGAUGUAGAGAAACGUCAGUCACGAACGCGUGUCGACAGCGUCAAUGAUGCGUUGGGAGGGUCAUACUUUCAAAACAAGGCCACCGUAUAGCCGACCGGUUGGGUUAGCAGCGAUAUAGAAAACGCAAAGUGUGACUAAGCCAACCGCCUACGUGAGUGAUGCGAUGUCUGUUACAAAACCGCGCAUGCGUUUUCUUCGCCUCCCUCCCCUUUUAGACCUAUGUCUCUGUACGCUGCCGUGUUCCCUCGCUUCCUACGGCAGCUACGUUUCUCCGUACGAUUCAAGAUGGAUAGAGAGAGACAGACACGCCAACGGUCCUCGCUCUAUCAAAGUCGUCACGGAAAAGUACCGGUCACACGUCUUCUCGAUGGUAGACCACGUUCUAGCCGAGAGACCUCGAUGACUCGUACACUUGGUCACCAAUGCUGGAUGAAGAUAUACGAUACAUAAGCGCGGGAUGCUGCGUUGCACUGCUUCAGAAUAUACAGGGUGAUCUACGUAACUUGGCCAAAUUGCAGUUCUAAGGAUUUGUUUACGCGAACGAGGUUGAACUUUACUUUCAGGUACCAAACAGUAACUUGAUAGUCAGAAAAUGUAAAAUACGACGUAUUUGAUUUAUCCCGCCAAAAUGGCCGCCAUCCACGUGCCCCUGUUUGCAGUCACUGACUUCACUCGUUAGACGGACAAUAAGGAGAAGCUAAUAUGGCGUCAAAAUAACGUGUCAAAUAAGCUAAUAACACUAAUGACUUUCACGAAUGUAGAACGUGUCCGAGUAAACGAAAACUAUCUUGGGAGUAUCGAGUGACAGGAGAACGUAACACGCACAGAUAAUGGAGUGAGAAAUGGAUCAUAUAUUUAAGUAAUUGGACAGGGAAGAUAUACCGGCGGUCAGAUAAUUAUACGCAGAAUUGUACUGCUUGGAUUUUUUUAUUUUGUAUCUCCUUAGAUACAGAUACGAAACAUGUAGCAGCGAAAUGCGAAGAUACAGCAUUCGAUAAAAAUGAUGAAGGUUAUACAAGUACAAUCUUGCGAUUAAAAUAACCCUAAUCUUUGCCAGCAGUAAUCUAUUUUUAUCGAAUCGCGCAUACGUAAGUGUGGAUUCUAUCUUUUCGACGGAAACGCUUCCUUCAAGGAUAAAAAAAGUUAGAUACAAAAGGUGAAAGAAAUAAACAGUGUCAUUAAACUGUCGACACUAUGAAAUUAUGAGGAACCCUAGGCAAUCGUAAAGAAAUCCUACACGGAUCCUGAAGUAUUGUAGGGAAAAUUCUAUUCAAAUUCUAGAAAUCAUAAACAAAGCCAACGAGUUGAAGAAAAUCCUAAACACCUCGUUAUAUAUACUCCUUUUAAAAAGGAAAAGAAAUAUUGAAGGAAAUAGUAUAAAAUUUAGGACAUAAGAAUGAAAACGAAUUUCAGUUUUAAAUCAUAAGGUGGAGGAUUAGAGUGUUGAAGAAACCGUUAAUUACCGUUUCCAUGUCAUAAAAUAUUAACGGUUUACGGUCAGGUAAUAGAAGUAAGGUAAAAAUCGGAAACGUUAUUCCGUUACUUUCUUUAUUUUUCGCGAUCGCAAAGCGUUAAAUUGUACUUAAACGUUUCAAUAAAUUCGCUGAAUCGUCUUCUUAACUAAAACGUAAUCUCCCAAAUCUGUUGAACGUUGCCAGUAGACUUACAAGCGGUUUUACAAAUAAUCACUGUUAUCAGAAAUCCGUACAGAAUUUAACUCGUAAUAAUCAAUAUUAUCUUCCACGUUCGCUUAACACUUUUUAUAGCGCAAGAGAAAAAAAAAAAAACGGAUAAAAAAUGAUGUGACAAGAAACAUAAACGUGUCGAAAGUACUCGUUUCAUUCACGUGACUAAACGUUUACCACUUGAUUACUAAACACUGAAAAUUAUGCGAUGAUUUUCGUCAGACAAGUUGUUUUUUUUUCUUCUCGAUGAGAAUACGAGAUAGUCGAAAUUUUCCAGGAAAUAUUUAUAGCACGGUGACACGCGCGAGAAGACAGAUGGCCGUCCCGUAGUCAUUGCAGGCAAGUCAGCCAUUCGAUAACCGUAAACACACGCGUUAAGGCCGAAUUAGAAAGUGGCCAGUAUCGAAAUAACGGUCGAUGACCAAGGUCACCCUGCCUGUACUUACGUAGGCACGGGCAACGCAGCAGCGCGAACUGGACCAACCUAACCCCAUCGUCAACCGCUUCGUCAAUGAGCCGCGUCAACGUGACGAAAACUAACACGUUCAACGCGCUAGAGCUGUUGCUAUUGAUAAUGUUAUCGAUAAUUUAAUAUUUUACUAAUUUAGUAACCUAAUUUUAGUCGACUAAUUUAGUCUACUUUCAAAUUAGCUAAACUAUACUUACACUUUGCAUCGACAUAUGAAAAUAGAAAAGAACGCAAUUUCUAGUUUUCUGAUAACUGUUGGCGCCAUUUUUAAAUGUAACGAGGUGCGCUUAUCGUAGCUUCUAUAUCUGUCGAUAUUACAUUAGUCUAUUUUCACCUCUUUUUUUCACUUACUCGUUACCUGAAAACAUUACUCUUCUGUUCUUUUUCAUUUAUUUACAAUAAUAAGACAAAUAUAUUGCCCUAGUUAUUUCUCACGAUGAUUCUAUUUCUUAAUUAAAAUGUUAUUAUUUUAUUUUAUAAAUACAUCACAAGCGUUUCGGUAUUUCUAACAUAUUUUUUACAAUGAACGAAAAAAUAAAAAUGGUUUCCGUUAAAAGAAGUCGCCAUUGUCAUUCAAACGUGAUGUAUACGUUCGACUUAGAUAACGUUAUCGAUAAAUAUCAAUAACUCGAGAAUAAAUAAAUUUGCAUGAUAAAAUUACACGUUUGAUUUUAACGUAAUCCCUCAUUAAUCUUAAUAAUAUUUGAGUAAUACUGUCGAUAUACUGUUAAGUGUCAAUAAGAUAUCAAUAAUCGAUAGCAACACCUCUAGUUCGAGUACAGUCGAAUUUUUUCAAUGUGAAGGCUAAAGCAGUCUCGAACUCGUUCGUUAACGAAUCACCAGUGAAAUUACAUUUAUAAAAUGUUCACGAGGCUCGAUGAGUUUUAUGUAUUGAGCAACGCACAACGGACUCAUUCAUUGUAUCUAAAUAUACCGAGUGACGUCAUGCGAUCGGACGUCACGGCACGGCAAGUCGGUGUAUCUUUUGGUCGUCCUAUCACGUGCUCGACGUAUACGUCUCCUUUAUACGCGUUUGGACAACUGCCGUGCCAUCCACAAUGAGAGAGAUUCUAACCGAGGGAAAAUACGAAGAAAGGAACUAUCGAGAUCCGAUUGCUAAUCAGAGCUUCAGGGCCUAUUCCUAAGAUAACAAAAUUAGAGAGCGCUGAUAUUUAUAGAGCGAUAUUUUGAUAUUGUAUCAUUUUUGAAGUUUAAGAUUAGAAGAUAAUGAAUUACAGUCGAGUGAUUUGCGAAGAAUGUCCACUUUGACAUGCUGGUUUUGGUGCGUAAAAGUUAGGAAGCCCUGUUUUACUAUACACCGGUAGAGACCCUGCAGCUGUGAAGGAAGGGGAGCGAGAGACGUAACUUCCUUUUAAACUCUGACGAUUCCCCGAAGGCUGAAGGAUCGAGUCUUUUAACGCGUGCACGCUCUUUUCUCGUGCCAGAUGGCCACGCGCACGACCAAACGCUUUCCUAUUUUUACUACCCAGCCGAUAAGAAGCCGAGAAAUGCCAUCUGUUUGAAAAAAAGGAAAAAAUACGAUAUGUUGUUUCAAUAACAUGGUACACGAACUCGAGAUAAAGUUACAAGUACAUUGUACCGAGUACAAAUAUCGGUUGUACACUGUGGAAAGAAUAUCUAAACUAUCUUCCAAACUGUUGAUGUUUCUAAUGGAAAGUUUUCAACGGAAAUUAAUCGAGCGACAGAUAGCGAAACGUGUACUCGCGUACGACAGUAGUGGGCACGUUUACGUUACAUUGUUUCUGCGAACAUAGAACGCGUCGUGUGUCGCAAAUGUUAUGUGGAAUUUUGAUUUUAUGAAGUUAAAAAAUAAUUAUUCUAUAAAAAUCUGUUUAAAUAAGUAAAUAUUUUUUUCGUACGUGCAAUGUCAAAAAUGUAAAAUCAAACCCGCAACAUCAAACAUAACCUCAAAUUAAUUGCGAUUAGGUGUUACAGAACCUGUCAAUAUUACUGACUAAACAUAAAUAAAAAAUAUAAAUAUAUGAAAUUUAAUGACAAUUUAUACAACUUCAGACAUGCAAUGUUUCGCAUAGCAUGUCUCUUGUCUUAUAUGCAUUCAUUUUUUUUUCCUUUCUACAUUUCGCGCCAAGAAAAAACUCAUUCGUAUCAUUUCGACAGUUUUUAUAAAUGAAAACGACAGACCCCUUACUCAAAUGGAUAUUUUAGAUCAUAUCUUGUCUUUUCUAAUAAUAACUUUUUAUUCUAGUUUAAACCCGCCCAAAA
rnacentral:lncRNA from 1 species